rnacentral:rRNA from 1 species
GACAGAGGUGCCGAGCGUUAGGCGGAAUCACUGGGCUUAAAGCGUGUGUAGGCGGAUCGUUAAGUACCUUGUGAAAUCCCACGGCUCACCCGUGGAACGGCUGGGUAUACUGGCGGUCUUGGGCCACCUAGGGGCAGAUGGAACAGACGGUGGAGCGGUGAAAUGCGUAGAUAUCGUCUGGAACGCCGAUGGUGAAAACAGUCUGCUGGGGGUGUGCCGACGCUGAGACACGAAAGCCAGGGGAGCGAACGGG